AUUGAACGCUGGCGGCAUGCCUUACACAUGCAAGUCGAACGGCAGCACGGGAGCAAUCCUGGUGGCGAGUGGCGAACGGGUGAGUAAUAUAUCGGAACGUGUCCAGUCGUGGGGGAUAACGUAGCGAAAGCUACGCUAAUACCGCAUACGAUCUACGGAUGAAAGCGGGGGAUCGCAAGACCUCGCGCGAUUGGAGCGGCCGAUAUCAGAUUAGGUAGUUGGUGGGGUAAAGGCCCACCAAGCCAACGAUCUGUAGCUGGUCUGAGAGGACGACCAGCCACACUGGAACUGAGACACGGUCCAGACUCCUACGGGAGGCAGCAGUGGGGAAUUUUGGACAAUGGGCGCAAGCCUGAUCCAGCAAUGCCGCGUGCAGGAUGAAGGCCUUCGGGUUGUAAACUGCUUUUGUACGGAACGAAAAGGCUCUGGUUAAUACCUGGGGCUCAUGACGGUACCGUAAGAAUAAGCACCGGCUAACUACGUG
rnacentral:rRNA from 1 species